rnacentral:pre_miRNA from 1 species
AAAAAGGCAAACCAUGGGUUUCCGUGUCCAACUUUGACUGGCCGUCUUAUAUGAAAUUUUUUUAUAAUUCGUAUUUUGAUAAAACAUGAUUAAUAUUUUAUGUGUGACUUGUCUUUUUAAUUUUCUUCAUAAUUUUUUCAAAUAAGACGGACGGUCAAACGUUGGGCACGGAAACCAGGGUUUGUCUUUUC